rnacentral:rRNA from 1 species
UACGUAGGGGGCAAGCGUUGUCCGGAUUUAUUGGGCGUAAAGCGCGUGUAGGCGGCUAGGUAGGUCCGCUGUGAAAACUCGAGGCUUAACCUCGAGACGUCGAUGGAAACCGUAUGGCUAGAGUCCGGAAGAGGAGAGUGGAAUUCCUGGUGUAGCGGUGAAAUGCGCAGAUAUCAGGAGGAACACCGGUGGCGAAGGCGGAUCUCUGGGCCUGUCCUGACGCUGAGGCGCGAAAGCUAGGGGAGCGAACAGG